rnacentral:rRNA from 1 species
ACUUUCAACAAUGGAUCUCUUGGUUCCGGCAUCGAUGAAGAACGCAGCGAAAUGCGAUAAUUAAUGUGAAUUGCAGAAUUCAGUGAAUCAUCGAGUCUUUGAACGCACAUUGCACCCCCUGGUAUUCCGGGGGGUAUGCCUGUCC